UGCAUAUGCUGAUGCAAACACUGGUGCUGCAUUAACUAAUGCUUCUUCAGAGAUGUCCCUUGAUGGCUGGGAUGGUAUUGCUCUUGAAUAUGCUGUUGAUUGGCCAUUGCAGUUGUUCUUUACUCAAGAAGUGCUGUCCAAGUACCUUAGGGUCUUCCAAUAUUUGCUACGGCUCAAAAGAACACAAAUGGAAUUGGAGAAAUCAUGGGCCUCUGUGAUGCAUCAAGAUCACACUGAUUUUGCCAGGCAUCGGAAUGACCGUAACUGCUCAAUAUCUCAACAGCGACGGCAACGUUUUAGGCCAAUGUGGCGUGUUAGAGAGCAUAUGGCAUUCUUGAUCAGAAAUCUUCAGUUUUAUAUCCAGGUGGAUGUGAUAGAGUCUCAAUGGAAUGUUUUGCAAGCCCAUAUUCAAGACUCUCAUGACUUCACUGAACUUGUGGGCUUCCAUCAAGAGUAUUUAUCUGCUUUAGUUUCACAGUCUUUCUUGGACAUUGGCUCUGUGUCAAGGAUAUUAGACAGCAUAAUGAAACUUUGUCUGCAAUUCUGUUGGAGCAUUGAGAACCAAGAAAACAACCCAAAUACGUCUGAACUGGAUCAUAUAACAGAGGAAUUUAACAAGAAAUCCAACUCAUUGUACACUAUAUUGCGUAGUAGCAGGCUAGCAGGGAGUCAACGAGCUCCCUUUCUUAGGCGUUUUCUUUUGCGUCUAAACUUUAAUUCAUUUUUUGAGGCAACUGCUAGAGGGGUGCUGAAUGUUGUUAGACCUUCUCCAACGCUUCCUGUUUUAAAUCAACAUUAGCAAUGAAUUAUUCAUGAAGCCCAAAUUAGCUAAAUGAUUCUCGCAAGUUAAUGCCAUGUGAACACUGUCGCUGCCGAUGGAGUUGAGGAAAAUAAAUAUCUAAAAUUGUUUGGGAACAGGUUCUCAAGCUGUUAUCCGCUUAGACUAUUAGGUGAUAUAAUUGGCUAUGAUGGGGGUCCAUGUUUCCUCAGUAUGAUGAUUAUCUAGGAUUCAUGUCUUAUAAGUCGUCUCUUGAGAAAGUUGGCUGGUUGAGCUUGUGGGUCUGUAUUAUCGGUUUGCCUCUUGUUGACUGACAAGUAACGAUCCCCUUGGAAAGUGAGAUGGCGUUUUUGGUAGCUGAAUUCACAGUGGCUAGUUCUCUGUUCUCACCUCGUUGACUGUGAUGAAGCACAUGAGAAAGGUUGCUCGUUAGGUUGCUGGCUUUGCUGCUGCUUGAGGUUUAGGUUCUGUCUUUUUGUUGCGCGACUGUGCGCUACACAGGAUUUGAGGCUGUUGUGGCAUUUGAUUUCUGAUUUGCAUACUUUUUGUAGAGUUAAUUUUUGGUGCAUGUAAAGGCAUUAUGACAGGAAAUAUUUGUAUUGCAAAUCUAUCUAAUCAUAAGAUUGG
rnacentral:misc_RNA from 1 species